rnacentral:rRNA from 1 species
GACGAACGCUGGCGGCGUGCUUAACACAUGCAAGUCGAACGGAAAGGCCCUGCUUUUGUGGGGUGCUCGAGUGGCGAACGGGUGAGUAACACGUGAGUAACCUGCCCUUGACUUUGGGAUAACUUCAGGAAACUGGGGCUAAUACCGGAUAGGAGCUCCUGCUGCAUGGUGGGGGUUGGAAAGUUUCGGCGGUUGGGGAUGGACUCGCGGCUUAUCAGCUUGUUGGUGGGGUAGUGGCUUACCAAGGCUUUGACGGGUAGCCGGCCUGAGAGGGUGACCGGCCACAUUGGGACUGAGAUACGGCCCAGACUCCUACGGGAGGCAGCGGUGGAGAAUAUUGCACAAUGGGCGGAAGCCUGAUGCAGCAACGCCGCGUGCGGGGUGACGGCCUUCGGGUUGUAAACCGCUUUCGCCUGUGACGAAGCGUGAGUGACGGUAAUGGGUAAAGAAGCACCGGCUAACUACGUG